rnacentral:rRNA from 1 species
CCCGCUGAACUUAAGCAUAUCAAUAAGCGGAGGAAAAGAAACUAACAAGGAUUCCCCUAGUAACUGCGAGUGAAGCGGGAAAAGCUCAAAUUUGAAAUCUGGCGGUUCUGCCGUCCGAGUUGUAUUCUGGAGAAGUGCCUUCCGUGCCGUACCGCGCACAAGUCCCUUGGAACAGGGCGUCAUAGAGGGUGAGAAUCCCGUCUUUGACACGGACUGCCGGUGCUCUGUGAUGCGCUCUCGAAGAGUCGAGUUGUUUGGGAAUGCAGCUCAAAACGGGUGGUAAAUUCCAUCUAAAGCUAAAUAUUGUCGAGAGACGGAUAGCGAACAAGUACCGUGAGGGAAAGAUGAAAAGCACUUUGGAAAGAGAGUAAAACAGUACGUGAAAUUGUUGAAAGGGAAACGCUUGAAGUCAGUCGCGUCUGCCGGAACUCAGCCUUGCUUCUGCUUGGUGCACUUUCCGGUUUGAUGGGCCAGCAUCGGUUUUGCGAGGCGGACACUGGCGGGUGGAAGGUGGCGGCUCCGGUCGCGUUAUAGCCUCCCGUCGCGAACGCCUUGUGGGACCGAGGAAUCCGGCGCACGCCUGGGAUGCUGGCGUAAUGGCUUUAAACGACCCGUCUUGAAACACGG